UUUAUCUUGGUGUAUGGGGCACAUAAAAUUUUGAUAUUUAAAGAAGGAGACUAGAU
rnacentral:tRNA from 1 species